GACGAACGCUGGCGGCGUGCUUAACACAUGCAAGUCGAACGGUGAAGCGCCUUCCUUUUUGGUGGGUGUGGAUGAGUGGCGAACGGGUGAGUAACACGUGAGUAACCUGCCCCCAUCUUCUGGAUAACCGCAUGAAAGUGUGGCUAAUACGGGAUAUUCUGGGUCUGUCGCAUGAUGGGUCUGGGAAAGAUAUUGUUUCGGUGGGGGAUGGGCUCGCGGCCUAUCAGCUUGUUGGUGGGGUGAUGGCCUACCAAGGCGGUGACGGGUAGCCGGCCUGAGAGGGUGGACGGUCACACUGGGACUGAGACACGGCCCAGACUCCUACGGGAGGCAGCAGUGGGGAAUAUUGCACAAUGGGCGCAAGCCUGAUGCAGCGACGCCGCGUGAGGGAUGGAGGCCUUCGGGUUGUGAACCUCUUUCGCCAGUGAAGCAGGCCUGCCUCGUUUGUGGGUGGGUUGACGGUAGCUGGAUAAGAAGCGCCGGCUAACUACGUG
rnacentral:rRNA from 1 species